rnacentral:misc_RNA from 1 species
UUAACUUAUUUUAUAAUACUCAGACGACACUAGAAACAUAGGAGUUGGGGGCUUCUGGCAGGAGCGCCUGUAACAGCGCUAAAGGCAGAUCGCAAUCGUCGCCUUUUUACAGGCUCCGAUCUUCAGCAACCAUCCUACCAAAGCAACACGGUAAUAACACAGGAUGGGAGGUCUACCCCGAAGAGCAUGAUCUCGGUAAUGAUCCUUCCGCUGGUUCACCAACGGAAA